GGCCCGCGCCGCCCCAUGUGACCCGGUCCGACAUGGUGUCGCCUCCUCUCGAGGAGGCGGCGGCGUCUUCGGCUCCGCUGCGCGUCGAACCGGCCCUGCGGCCGCUCAUGGGCAGCCAGGGCCGCUCGGGUUCCCCCGGGAACCUCGGGCCCAGAGAAAGCGAGGGCGGGGAGGCGAGGGUCGCACGGGGAAAGCGAGGAAAGAGGAAGGGGAAAGCGGGCACCGGGCACGGCGGAAGAGGAAGCGGGGCGGAAGGGAAGCCGGGCCUGCAGCCGGCGAGGAAGACAGCGGGGCUGGGGGCUGAGGCGGGCCCGGGUCAGGAAGGAGAGGAGGGCGCAGCCGUGGAGGAAGGACCGAGAAGCUCCGGGAAGCGGGAUGAGGGGAGCGCAGGCCCCGGGAAGGAGGAGGAACGGAGGCUCGGGGCCGAGCGGCGGGAGGACGGCAGCCUGGAGAGAGCACGGGAGCGUGGGUGUCAGGCGUGGGGCGGCAUCCCGGGGACCCGGACGGCCAUGGCGGCGGCCGGCGACGAGGAGGCGACGGCGGCGGCUGCGGAGCCGUCCGGUCGUCCGGCCGCGGGGCCCGCGCUCUGGCGCCUGCCGGAGGAGCUGCUGCUGCUCAUCUGCUCCUACCUCGACAUGCGGGCCCUCGGCCGCCUGGCUCAGGUGUGCCGCUGGCUGCGGCGCUUCACCAGCUGCGACCUGCUCUGGCGCCGGAUAGCCCGGGCCUCGCUCAACUCUGGCUUCACGCGGCUCGGCACCGACCUGAUGGCCAGCAUUCCAGUAAAGGACCGAGUGAAGGUGUCUCAGAACUGGAGACUGGGCCGCUGCCGAGAGGGGAUUCUGCUGAAGUGGAGAUGUAGGCAAAUGCCCUGGAUGCAGCUUGAGGAUGCUUCUCUGUACAUAUCUCAGGCUAAUUUCAUACUGGCUUACCAGUUCCGCCCAGAUGGUGCCAGCUUGAACCGUCGGCCCUUCAGAGUCUUCGCUGGGCACGAUGAGGAUGUUUGUCACUUUGUGCUGGCAAACUCGCAUAUCAUCAGUGCAGGAGGAGAUGGGAAGAUUGGUGUUCAUAAGCUCCACAGCACCUUCACUGUCAAGUACUCGGCUCAUGAGCAGGAGGUGAACUGUGUGGACUGCAAAGGGGGCAUCAUUGUGAGCGGCUCCAGGGACAGGACGGCCAAGGUAUGGCCUUUGGCCUCGGGCCGGCUGGGGCAGUGCUUACACACCAUCCAGACUGAAGACCGAGUCUGGUCCAUUGCCAUCAGCCCGUUACUCAGCUCCUUUGUGACAGGAACAGCUUGUUGUGGGCACUUCUCACCUCUGAGGAUCUGGGACCUCAACAGUGGACAGCUGAUCACACAUCUGGGCAGUGAUUUUCCCCCAGGGGCCGGGGUGUUGGAUGUCAUGUAUGAAUCCCCUUCUACACUGCUGUCCUGCGGUUAUGACACCUAUGUUCGCUACUGGGACCUCCGCACAAGUGCCCGGAAAUGUGUCAUGGAGUGGGAGGAGCCCCACGACAGUACCUUAUACUGCCUGCAGACAGAUGGCAACCACCUGCUGGCCACAGGUUCCUCCUACUAUGGUGUUGUGCGGCUGUGGGACCGGCGCCAGAGGGCCUGCCUGAACGCCUUCCCGCUGACGUCGACUCCGCUCAGCAGCCCUGUGUACUGCCUGCGACUCACCACCAGGCAUCUCUAUGCUGCGCUGUCCUACAAUCUCCACAUCCUAGACUUUCAGAACCCAUGACCAAGCGCCCUGCUUCUGGGCCGGGCAGAUCAGCUUCUCAGGGACCUCUCUUGCCUGGCAGGUGAAGUGAUUGACACCGCACCCUCUUCCCAGUCCUGCUUCGCUUCUGGACCUAUGGCCACAGUGCCCUGGCACCUGAAGCACUGCCUCCUGGACACUGGGGCUGACUCUGAUGUAGGCCCUCCCAGUACCCGUGGUCUUAGGAGAAUGGACCUGAACUCCAGUGUUUACAACAGGGCCAGCAUAAGGUCCUGGGCUGGCGAGGCCCAGCCUGUCCCCGAGCCCUGUAUAGCACUACAGCAGCCUACAGAAUGAGGUGAGGGGCUCCCACAUCCCAGCUAGAAAGACAGGUCAAGACUACAGCAAGACACUGGAAUCAACUUCAAGCAAAGUGACUAAGCCAGUUCUGCAGGGGCAACAAGCAACUGUGUAGCUCUGGUUGGGAACCUUGUUUUGGAUGCUAAACGAGGGCACACCUCUAGGUGAAGAAAAGCAGAACCCAACAAAAGUGCUCUGGUGGGGGGCUCCGCAAAUGCACAGCACUGAGAGAGAAGGGUACACUACUCUCUGUACAGGUCACUGUAUGCUUUUUAUAUGCAUUUCUACAGCCAUUAAUAUAUAGGUAAGAAUAUGCUUCAUGUCCCCCUCUGGAUGGUAUCAUGAUCAGGAAAGAGAUUUUAAAAGUGUUCUAAAAAAAUAAAUCCUGCUCAUACAAAACACUGCUGUGAUUUGUUUGACGGCUGGAAGUACCGGUAACGACUGAAGGUAGAAGGUAGGAACUCUAUUAGGCACAGGAAAGGACUGGUUAAGUUUGGUGGCCUCUCCAGCCUACUUUCGAAAAUAGGGACCUGCAGGGGGCAGGCUAAGCCUGGUUUAGGACUCAAUUCUAUUCUAUUCAAUUCUAAAGUGAGCACCAAAAUAUCAUUUUCUUUUCCCUCUGUGUGAAGCCCUCCUCCUAGGGUACCACUCCCAUCCUACCUUGCAUCCAAUAGUGGAAUGCUUCACUAGCGAGAGCCCCUGGCCAACAGCGCCACCUAUGGCAUCUAUGUAUACACAAGCAGGGGAUGGGGCCCAGAGGAUCUGCUCACAGAUGAAGAUUUUGGUGAGCUAGCUGGCCCCUCUUCCAGCAUGCUCUUGUAAUCACAUUUCUGCCUGAUAUCUGUAUUCCACAGUGACCUCUGGGGGAUGGAAAGGAGGCAGCAGCCAG